ensembl:snRNA U6 U6 spliceosomal RNA
GUGCUUGCUUCAGUAGCACAUAUACUGAAAUUGAAAUGAUACAGAGAUUAGCACAGCCGGGCAAGGAUGACAUGCAAAUUCAUGAGUACUCCAUAUUUUU